rnacentral:rRNA from 1 species
AUACGUAGGGGGCGAGCGUUGUCCGGAAUGACUGGGCGUAAAGGGCGUGUAGGCGGCUGGAUAAGUCUGGAGUGAAAGUCCUGCAUUCAAUGUGGGAAUUGCUUUGGAGACUGUCUGGCUUGAGUGCGGAAGAGGUAAGUGGAAUUCCCAGUGUAGCGGUGAAAUGCGUAGAGAUUGGGAGGAACACCAGUGGCGAAGGCGACUUUCUGGACUGUAACUGACGCUGAGGCGCGAAAGUGUGGGGAGCAAACAGGAUUAGAUACCCUGGUAGUCCGCACUGUAAACGAUGAAUGCUAAGUGUAGGGGGUAUCGACCCUUUCUGUGCCGCAGUUAACACAAUAAGUAAUCCACCUGGCGAGUACGGCCGCAAGGUUGAAACUCAAAUGAAUUGGCGGGG